rnacentral:tRNA from 1 species
GCAUGGCUGGCUCAGUCAGUAGAGCAUGCGACUCUUGAUCUCAGGAUUGUGAGUUCAAGCCUCAUAUGUG